AAGCUGGCCUUUUCCUACCCUUACUCGCCAGAGGGUUUUAACGCUUGGAGAAAGGUGCCUCUUCUGCAUUAGUGGAUGUGGAGCCCCUACGUAAGGCUCUGCGGCUCAGGGAAGGAUAACAGGUCUUGGGGUCAAAUGCACGGUCCAGCCAGCUCCUUCCCAGCGCUGUGACCUUGCUCGGGUCACCUCGCUAAAGCUUGGUCUGCUCAUCUGUGCAAUGGGAUGAGAGAGGGGGGAUCAGCGCUGAGCAGCACAGGAGAGCGGCUGCCAGGGAGGCCCUGGAAAAGGCUUUGGCAGUGGUCUUUCUGCUUUUAGAGGCUGGGAAUUGUUCACUCAACCUGUGUGAGUAGAAACCCUGGGGGAAGUUGGACCUCUGCCAAGGAAGGGAAAUUUAUUACCUUCCAGAACAGUAAGUUAUUUUUGCAGACAGCUCUGUUUGAAAGUUCUUCCUGGUACUGAGUUAAAGUAUAUACCCUUGAGGAGUUCCUGUCCUGGCUCGACAGUAAACGCAUCUGACUAUUAUCCAUGAGGACGCAGGUUCGAUCCCUGGCCUUGUUUAGUGGGUUAAAGAUUUGGCGUUGCUGUGAGCUGUGGUGUCGGUGGAGGACAUGGCUUGGAUCUGGUGGUGUUGUGGCUGCGGUAUUAGGCAGCACCUGCAGCUCCCGUUUGACCCCUAGCCUGGGAAAAACAAAACAAAGAAACUGAGUUCCUGGAAUCAGGAGCAGCCUUAUCUGAUUUCCACCAACCCCUGUAGGCUAAGGCAGCGCACUUGCUCCUGAACUGAACUUGGCUCUUCUUGCUCACUGAGCAGCAAAGCCAAUUUACUGAUGCCGUGGUGCGUGUUUACUGUAGGCACCGAGCAAGAUCCAAACUCCUCGGUGGUUUCCAGGGAAAGAGUUUCAAAGACAACAUUGGGGUGAGGGUUUUAGCUCUUGAACUUCCUUCUGAUUGGUGGGUGGUGAGUUAACGGGUGAUGUUUCAGGAACCUUCUGCUUCCAGCCAGUCUGUGGUCGGUGUGCUUGUGGUCCCCAUGCCGUCAACAUCCUCCACCUGGGUGGGUGGGGUCUUAGUUUCUGCAGAACAACGCAAAGAUAUGUAUCCGAUUGGAUGACAGUUCCCCACAGGGUCCUGCUUGGUUUCAUAUUUUUGGAAAUUCACAAAUGCCCCCACUUUAAAAGGUAAAAUAUUUAAAUAAUUAUGUUAUUGGUUGAUUUUUUUAAAAAGAUAGAAAUUUAAGCUGAUAUCAUUACUUCCUUUAAUGGGAUAAAAGAUUUAGGAUUGUCAUUAAUAUUUACGGUAUUACAAUAUUAUAAAAUAAUUGGAAAGUGAAAUGAAAACAUUUACACAAAAAAACUGUACUUGAAUGUUUAUAAUACCUUUAUUCAUAAUCAUCAAAAACUGGAAACAACCUAAAUAUCCUUCAGCUGGAUUAACAAACGUGGUAAAUUCAUUCGAUGAAAACUACCCGCACUAAACAGGGGCAACUUACUGAGGCAUGAAACUCUUGGAUGGAUUGCAGAUGAAUUAAUAUGAAGUGAAAGACAAGGUGGUGGAUGGAUCUCAGAUGAAUUAUGUGAAGAGAAAGGUAAGACAGUCUCAAAAGGCUACACAUUGUAUGAUUCCAUCCUUGUGACAUUCUGGAAAAGGCAAAACUAUGGAAACAGAACACAGAUCAGUGGCUCCCAGGGACUGGAAAUACAAAGAGGGGUUGACUACAAAGGAGCAGGAGAAAUUUGGGGGAUUCGAGACAGUUUUAUAUAUGUAUAUUUGUCUUUUUAGGGCUGCACCAGUGCCAUAUGGAAGUUCCCAGGCCAGAGGUUGAAUCAGAGCUGCAGCCACCGCCUACACCACAGCCACAGCAAUGCCGGAUCCUCAACCCACUGAGCAAGCCCAGGGACCAAACCCACAUCCUCAUGGAUACCAAUCUGGUUCGUUACCCCUGAGCCACAAUGGCAACUCCCUGUAUUUUUUGUCUUUUUGGCCACGUCGGAGGCGUGCAGAAGUUCCCAGGCCAGAGAUCGAACCCCUGUCACAGCAGUGACAAUGGCAGAUCCUUAACCCGCAGAGCCCCUGGGAACUUCUCUGUAUCUUGAUUGUGGUGAUGGCUACCUGAAGAUAUGCAUUUGUCAAAUUAUACAUUAAAUAGGGUGCCUUUUACUGUAUGUAAGUUAUAUCUUAAAAAUGAAAAAAUAUGAACAAAGGAAAAGAAAAAAGAAAUGGGAAACAAAAAAAGUGCUUGGCAAUACGAGAGUUCUCAUGCACGGAGUAUCACGUAGCCAUGACACCUUUUUAGUGGAAGGAUAUUUAGGGACGUGAGAAAAUGCUCACGAUCACAUAGUGAAAGAACGAAGCAGGGGACCAAGCUGCAUUUAGAGCAUGAUCCCAGUUUCGUAACACACACACACAUCAGUGACGCGGACAACAGAACAUGUGCGCAGGUGCAUGUGUAGAAAGAAGACGAGAACAAAUGCACCUCAGCAUCAGCAUCAGCAGCAUGACCUCAGGAUGUCGGGAUCCAGGAUGGCUUUUCUCUUUUCUUUCUUUUUUUUUUUCCUCCUGCCCAUAGCAUGUGGAAGUUCCUGGGCCAGGGAUCAGAACCCGAGCCACAGCAGAGACUUGCGCCACAGCAGAGACAAUGCCAGAUCCUUUACCUCCUGAGUCACCAGGGAACUCCAAGGAUGACUUUAAUGUUUUUCUGAAUACUUUUGCUGAGUUUCCAAAUUAUCAUGUGCACCUUUGUUCCUUUUACAGUUACAAAUGCCAUAAACAUUGUUAUUUGAAAAUAUUACAGAGGGAGGGAACAGCCUGACUGUCUUGACCCGGAAGUGGCCAUUGAGCUGCAGGUGGUUGGCUGGCAGUCGUCUCACCUUGGUGAUCAAGUGCCAUAGGGCUGGGGCUGUUUGUUCUCAGACUUCUUGGCCAGGCAUUCGGGUCUCAUGGAAGCCGCCUGCUGUGCUGCAGGUCAGGGCUUUGGCCCACUGGGAGCUGGCGUUAGUUACCCUUUUCCUUAGAGAGCGAUGUUAUUUAUGCAGGCCGUUUGUUCAUCCGUUGCUGCCUUCCUUCAUUUUCUAGCCCUUUCCACAGAGGAUUUGGAGGUGUCUAAAACACUGUCAGCUGAGUUUUAUUGGAUGUUUCAAAGUCGAUUUCAUUUUUUCUUUUCAGGUGAGCUGCACAAGCACUGGGGCUGGAGGGAAGAUUAAGGCACCGUCUCUGCACUGAUGAGCUUGCUGUUCAGUGGGGCAGACAGACGUGUCAGCAGUGACGAUGGGUAGGGAGAGCGCGUGGGGCGCAGAGCAGGGCCUUUCAGGUGGCUGGGCUCCAUCCUGUAGGUCCUGUGGGAAUCUGCUAAUCACAGCUGGGGACAGGCACGGCCUCCUCCUCAGAGGCAGGCGCCCUCAUAGUCCAACAGCACAACCUAGUGGGCAGGGGCUGGCACUGCACGCCCCACGUCGGAAUCUAGCUCGGCAGUGCGGUAGCUGUUGCACCUCGGAGAAGUUAGCUAACCUCUCUGUGCCUCAGCUUCCUUAUCUAUAAAAAUAGGAGUCAUAAUAUUUACUCAGUUCAUAGAGCUGCUGUGAGGAUUCAGUGAAUUAAUAAAUGCUGAAGAGUUUAGAACAGGGUCUGGCACAGAGUGAAAUACAAACGUUUACUGUUGUUGUCACUUUACAGAAAUGAAGUAUUUUACUCAAGGUAAUAUAGCUAAUUAAGGCUCCACAGAGGGGCCAAGUUUGAGUGCAGGGAAUAUGACCUCACAGUCCAAUCCCUGCUCUUAACCACUGGCUUCGUUUUUAUGCUUUUGUAAGUUUCAGAGGAGAAAAAAAUACUUGGUCAGAUUGUGGUGAACCAUCCAGCCUCCUUAUAUAUAGUUUCACAUAUGGAUGAAUAUAUGGCUUGAAGGAAGCGUUCCUGCCCAUCUGGAGUCUGAAUUACUUUGUAUCUCUUUUGGCCGCACCUGCAGCCUGUGGAAGUUCCCAGGCCAGGGAUCAAACCUGAGCCGCCACAGUGAUGAUGUGGAAUUCUCAACCACUGGGCCACCAGGGGGCGCUGUGUCUGCAUUACUUUGGUGGCGGCUUGAGUUGGGAUGGUAGCUGGGGUAGGACUCCUUUAUAACAAGGUGCCCCCUAGUUGUAUGGGUUUUUGCUUGUUUGUCUGUGUUUUCCUUUUUUGUCUGCCCCGCGGUAGGGGAAGCUCCUGGGCCAGGGCUCAGCUCUGAGCUGCAGUUGCAAACUAUGCUGCAGCUGUGGCAACACCAGAUCCUUAACCCACUGCGCUGGGCUGGGGAUCGAACCUGCUUCCAGUGCUCCAGAGACACCACUGAUCCCGUUGUGCCAUGGAAGGAGCUCCCCCAUAUUUGUGUGUUUUAACAAGCAGUUUCACACCCUUGAUCCCAAAUGAUGAUGAGAAAGAGAAGGUAGGAACCACUUCCCCAUUUUCCCCCAAGGGUCGGGGAUAUGAAGGACUUGCCUGGGGACAUAAGGUGCCCAUCCAACCUGGCGGGACACCCUCCCUCUACCACCUGGCUGCCACCUACCCCUCUCUGCCCCUUGCAUGGGGAAUCGGGGGAAUAGCCAGGGAUGGGAUGUCAUGUUGGCCGGUGUCCCUCACUCCCUGGGCGCUCUCUGUCCAUUCUGUCCCCACCUCCUUGGCCCAGACUGUGAUGGAUCAGUCUCCGGGUCCCCAGGGCCCAGCUCCUGUGCUCCUGGGUUAGGAGCCUCUGCUGGUCCAAUGAACAAAUCAGGGAGCGCGUGGAACUGCUGGCAACUUGGGCAGCUCCGACCUGCUCAGAGUCUGGUCCUGGCUCAGCAUCACCUGGGGACUUGGUAGCUGUGGGAACUCUGGGCCUCAUCCCUGACCUGGUGACAGAAACUCUGGAACGUGGCCCCGCAAGCUGGGUUGUAGCAAGCCCUCCAGAUGUUGACAGCGGUUCAGACAGCAGCACCUGGAUCUGGGCGCCAGAGUUCAAACUCCAGCUCUGCCCCUGACUUGCUGUGUAGCCUGAUGCCUCUCAGUUUCCUCGCGUGUAGGAUGACGCUCGCACAGUGUCAGGAUGUUGAUAUGACCCUUUGCCGGGAAAGAGGCUCAGCCCAGGGCCUGGCACGUAGCUGACACGUGUUUAGUCAAAGGCUGGUUAGAAAGAAGCAGGCUGAGGGAAUUCCCAUUGUGGCUCAGUGGAAAGGAAUUUGACUAGUAUCCAUGAGGAUGCAGGUUUGAUCCCUGGCCUCACUCUGUGGGUUAAGGAUCCGGCGUUGCCGUGAGCUGUGGUGUAGGUUGCAGAUGCGGCUCAGAGCUGGUGGUGGUGUGGCUGUGGCCAGCGGCUGCAGCUCUGAUUCAACCCCUA
rnacentral:lncRNA from 1 species